AAUAGAUACCCCGGUAGUCCACGCCCUAAACGAUGUCUACUAGUUGUCGGGUCUUAAUUGACUUGGUAACGCAGCUAACGCGUGAAGUAGACCGCCUGGGGAGUACGGUCGCAAGAUUAAAACUCAAAGGAAUUGACGGGGACCCGCACAAGCGGUGGAUGAUGUGGAUUAAUUCGAUGCAACGCGAAAAACCUUACCUACCCUUGACAUGUCAGGAACCCUCGAGAGAUCGGGGGGUGCCCGAAAGGGAGCCUGAACACAGGUGCUGCAUGGCUGUCGUCAGCUCGUGUCGUGAGAUGUUGGGUUAAGUCCCGCAACGAGCGCAACCCUUGUCAUUAGUUGCUACGAAAGGGCACUCUAAUGAGACUGCCGGUGACAAACCGGAGGAAGGUGGGGAUGACGUCAAGUCCUCAUGGCCCUUAUGGGUAGGGCUUCACACGUCAUACAAUGGUGCAUACAGAGGGCCGCCAACCCGCGAGGGGGAGCUAAUCCCAGAAAGUGCAUCGUAGUCCGGAUCGCAGUCUGCAA
rnacentral:rRNA from 1 species